UUUAAAUUAAAAUUAUUGAAAGCGUAUCUAACCAUAAACAUAAACUCCUAAGUAAUUCAAAUAAUGCGUUCUAAAUUAAAAUAAACAAAUUGCUAAAUUUAAAAUGGCAAACUUAUUUCUUUUUUUCUAUUCUUUAUCCACUUGGCAGUCCGCAUCACCAAUUCUCCACUGUUCCAAUCGACCCGAACUAAUCUGAAAA
rnacentral:lncRNA from 1 species